rnacentral:rRNA from 1 species
CCUACGGGUGGCAGCAGUGGGGGAUAUUGCACAAUGGGGGAAACCCUGAUGCAGCGACGCCGCGUGUGGGCAGACGGUCCUCUGGAUUGUAAACCACUGUCCCCAGGGACGCAACUGACGGUACCUGGGGAGGAAGCUCCGGCUAACUACGUGCCAGCAGCCGCGGUAAUACGUAGGGAGCGAGCGUUGUCCGGAAUUACUGGGGGUAAAGGGAGCGUAGGCGGGGAUGCAAGUUGGGUGUCAAAACUACCGGCUCAACUGGUAGUCGCACUCAUAACUGCAGCUCUUGAGUGAAGUAGAGGCAGGCGGAAUUCCUAGUGUAGCGGUGAAAUGCGUAGAAAUUAGGAGGAACACCAGUGGCGAAGGCGGCCUGCUGGGCUUUUACUGACGCUGAGGCUCGAAAGCGUGGGGAGCAAACAGGAUUAGAUACCCUGGUAGUC